UGGGGCCCGCACACAUCUGUAAUCCCAGCUUAAGGACCCUGCGAGGGAGCUGGGAAGAGAUUUCCUUGAACACCAACUGCAUCCUCCUCAAAUAUCAGAGCUACACGAAAGGCUGCUUCCAACACUAAGAAUCCACUGUAGUAGAAGAUAAAAGCUGAGACCUACCAAGCAAGCUUCAGGUCUCAUGAAAUGCAGCCAAGGUCUCACAGGGAGCCUUUAAGUGACAGUGAGGCAUCACGUUUUGUACAGGGCAAGGACUUCAACUGAGAAAAACCAAAUGAGAAUAUUCAACAACUUGUUUUCUGUAAAGCUCAACUGUAAAACAGAUUUCAGACCCGGGGGCGGACAUCUUCACUGAGACAGCCCAAGCAGUCACAAAUCAGACUUCAAGGUGCACACACUAAAGAGAUCCAGUCAACUUCCCACCGGUGUAAACACCAAAAGGCGGAGAAGACUAUUGACAGUAAGAAAACACCAUGUAUGUGUAGAAAUAAUUCAGUACCCCUUUAAGAACUGCUAACAAUAGUAAAUACUAACAAAUAUUCAGAAACUACGUCUCUAAAAUAAAGAUAGAGUAAUUAAGAGAAGUUGAAUG